rnacentral:lncRNA from 1 species
GGAUUGUUUAUUAUUGCUUAUUAUUGUAGCUUAUUUUUAUUGCACACAUAAAUAUCAAGCUCAUAUCUACAGAAUUUACCAAGAACAGUACAAUUGUCAUAUAGUGACGAUUUACUCCACAUAAUAGUCACAAAUCUUUGAAAUACAAUUUGUUCACUAACAAAACCCGUUAUCGAAAAUUUUCCCACAAUAGCAAAGCAGUACGAAAAUAAUAUAGAAAAUAUAAAAGCUUCCCGAAUUUACUGGCUGGCAAUAAAAACCAGCAGGCAGUUGGAAUUUUCGAACGCAAAUUUUAUGUAUAUUUUUAGAGGUAACCAGCAGCACCGUUCCUGCGAUUCCGUGGCAGCGCUGCAAUUACAGUGCAUCUACUGUAAGUGGGGCCACUUAGAGAACACUAACCAUGCAAUCGCAUUGCAGAACAGAAAGAAAAAUCUAAUCAAACUAAAUCUCGUCCAAUCAGAAGAAAGAUUCAGGAAGCCAUUAACUGCAGUGUAUACUUUUACAAGUCUAUUUUUACCGUUUGACAUUCGUUUAUUUGUUCAAAUUGUUUUUGGCCUAAUGCUGAUUGGCUAAUGCGCCGUUUGUUGAUUUUUUCAAUUUCUGUUCUUCAAUGUGAUUGGUUAGUGUUCUGUAAGUGGCCCCACUUACUGUAGACGCACUGUAACAGAGCUACAGAUUCCAGUAGCUGAGCAUUAACCACAAAUUCAUGUAUAUAUAAUGGAGUCAUUGGAGUGACGCCAGUAGAAGGUUAAUAUAUAAACUUUGCGUUCGAAAUUUCCGCAUGGAAAAUCUUAUCUGGUUAGGGUAAAACGCGGAUGCGGACGAACAGGCAGCGAACGGACGUAUGAGAGGGUAAAAUGAGGACUGACGGACGAGAGGGUAAUAUGAGGGUAUAUCCACAUAAAUAAACAUACUUGUAAGUAUGUGCAAAGAUACCAGGGGAAAGAUACCAGUUUGAUACUUUCAUGAAGAGAUUGAAUUUAAAUCAUGGUGAGAGACGUCUAUAGGUCAAACAUUUACUUCUGACAUUAGCUCCGGGGGGUGCGCUCCGGGCAUCGUAUUUCCACACAAUUUCUCGUUUUCCCAAUUUCCACGAGUGUUGAAAUCAAACGCAUUAAUAAUUCAUGAGGAAAACACAAAGAAAAAUCAUAAGCGUGUCGUAUCUUUAUAUGUGAUAGAGAUUUCCCUUGAUUUAUAUAAACUUUAACUUUGAUUUUCUCGACUUACACAACGAAUUUUUUGAAAAUUACUUCGUCAAUAGAUCGAUCGUUUUUGAAGCAAUUCAAAACAUUCGCAGUGCGUGUUUUAUCGGACCUAAAGAUACUCGGCAUCGCCUCGUAUCCUUAUAUCUGAUAAAACACUUCUGCUCAUGCUUUAAAUAGUAAUUAAAAUAUCAUUAGUAAUUCAUAAACCUUGUGAAGCCGUCCUUGUGGCAAAUCAUGUCAGCCAUAAUAUAUCACGUGGAGUGAAUUUAUAUCUGAUAAAACACAUGUUGCAUUAUAUAAUUGUUCAUCCUAACAAGACAGCAUCUCUUGUAGUCGUAUUUUUAAGCUAUUCAAAACAUUCGUUGUCGUAUUUUAUCAGAUAGCCUACUGAUGUUUUAAAUAGUACGUAUAUCAACACGGAAAAUGUUUUAUAUUUGUUAACUAUAAAAUACUUAUAUAAUGUAAAAUACUUAUUUAUAAUUUUUUAUAUAUACAAAUAUACAUAUUUCUUUGUACCUUCAAGGCACAACAUCUCUUUGUCUUUGAGGGAACUCCGAACUUUUAGGAAGCAUAUUAUAUUGCACAGUAUACGAAUAUGUUUUCUACAACAAUUGUACCAAUUUAGUAUAAAGUAUUUCGCAUAAAAUCCAGAGUAUUGUCAUGAUUUUCAAAGUAAAUAUUGUGCUUCCAAAACUAUACUGCAGGCUCCAUAGCCUACCUCCGUCACACUUCGUGUAACACAUAGUCGCCAUAUCGUGCGAUUUUUUCUAGAGUUUCAGCAGAAUACGCAAUUGCAACUGUGGAAAACAAUAAAACAUGUGGAAUUAUAUGAUAAAACUGAAUAACAUCUUGUUAUUUUUCAAGUUCAAAUUUAUAAACCCAGGCAAAUUUACAAAAACAGGCAAUGAAGAAACUGUAGGACGACAAGGAGAUGAUGAAAAUGAAGGCUGCCAGGAUGAAACAGAGAAUCAAAUAGACGAAGCUUCUGAAUCUGACGAGGACAUCCGAGCAGGUGGACUGAAAUGCAGACAACCCACAAAAAAUCGCAUUGUGAACACUAUUGAUAAAGCUCUAGGUAUAAAGAGCUACAAUCCCAAUUCCAGAAGACCUGGGGCCGGUUGUAUAAAAAAGUGAUUAAAGUUAACUAUAGUUAGUGGAAACGUCAUCCAAUAAGAAGCGCAUAUUUGAGAGUUAAUCACUAUUUAACUACAAAAUAGUGACUAAAAAAGUGAUUAAGAGUUUUAUACAAGAGGUCCCUGAAGCGUAUCGAAAGCGUUUAGUGAAAGUGGACAAACAGCGGAAGACGACGUUGUCCGUGUUUUCCAAAAUAAACCAACAACAACAACAAACGUUGGUCGUAACAAUCGUGCCAAUGUCAUAACUGGAAGACAAGACCCUCAACCAAAGGCAAGAGUUACAUUUAUUUCCUAGGACUUUUUAGACCAACAGUCCUACUCAGGAUUGUAUACAUGAUUUAAAUCAGUGGUGUCACUGUGUUUCUUGAAUAUUCUUUCAAUUUUUUAAAAACAAACCUUACAACAUAUGCAGGUAGAUG